AACAGGAUUUGAUACCGUGGUAGUCCACCCCAUAAANGAUGUCAACUAGCUGUUGGGGCCGUUAGGCCUUAGUAGCGCAGUAACGUGUGAAGUUGACCGCCUGGGGAGUACGGUCGCAAGAUUAAAACUCAAAGGAAUUGANGGGGACCCGCACAAGCGGUGGAUGAUGUGGAUUAAUUCGAUGCAACGAGAAAAACCUUACCUACCCUUGACAUGUCUGGAAAGCCGAAGAGAUUUGGCCGUGCUCGCAAGAGAACCGGAACACAGGUGCUGCAUGGCUGUCGUCAGCUCGUGUCGUGAGAUGUUGGGUUAAGUCCCGCAACGAGCGCAACCCUUGUCAUUAGUUGCUACGCAAGAGCACUNUAAUGAGACUUGCGGUGACAAACCGGAGGAAGGUGGGGAUGACGUCAAGUCCUCAUGGCCCUUAUGGGUAGGGCUUCACACGUCAUACAAUGGUCGGGACAGAGGGUCGCCAACCCGCGAGGGGGAGCCAAUCUCAGAAACCCGAUCGUAGUCCGGAUCGCAGUAUGCAACUCGACUGCGUGAAGUCGGAAUCGCUAGUAAUCGCGGAUCAGAAUGUCGCGGUGAAUACGUUCCCGGGUCUGGNACACACCGCCGGUCACACCAUGGGAGUGGGUUUCACCAGAAGUAGGUAGCCUAACCGUAAGGAGGGCGCUUACCACGGUGGGAUUCAUGACU
rnacentral:rRNA from 1 species